GAGCAUUUCUUAAGAAGAAUACCUAGAAACAUCUGGGGUCUUUCUAUUUCAUUGUCUUACAAUUAUUAGGCCUUGUGUAAACGCUCGCAGAUUGAAUGAUGAAAUAAAAGAAGAAACUACAGCACAGUUUUCUCCAUGACAGCCUGAGAGAUGUAGCUGGUGCUGCCACUUUUCCUUCAUUUUUCCCUGCCUUGAAUAUGGUGGUGAUGCCUGGAGCUUCAGCAGCCAUCUUAUGGCCAUGAAAUGGCAAGCAUGAGAAUGAAAGAAAAUGCACUCAUCAUGACAGGAGGAAGAGCAGAAGAAAUCUGGGUCACUGGUGAUAUCAAUGGAUAGCUGAAGCAAUGCUGCUCUGGAUGGAAAAUGCCCUGGGUUCUCCGAGACUUAACACCCCGCCUUGUGAACGCGAGCAAGAUUAUUCUCUCUGAGCAGCUCUUUUCACAUGUGAUAAGCUUGGCAAGUUGCCCUGAGCUAACUACGCAUGAUUUGCUGACCUGUAAGCAGUGUGAAAUCCAAGCAUCUACACUCCGAGAUAAGGAUUGAAUUCUCACCCACUGUCUUCACCCAACCCAGCAGAGAAGAAGGCUUGUGACUGUGUAAGGAACAAUACAAGCAGCCGAAGGAGCUGCCCAGGACAGACUAAUUUUCAGGGGAGAGAAAGACAAGGAAGACUUAACCCUGCCU